rnacentral:rRNA from 1 species
UUCACGGUAUUGCAAUGAGAACAAUUUAAAACCCUUAGCGAGAAUCAAGUGGAGGACAAGUCUGGUGCCAGCACCCGCGGUAAUUCCAGCUCCACUAGCGUAUAUUAAAGUUGUUGCAGUUAAAAAGCUCGUAGUUGAACCUCUGUCUGGGGCUAGUUUUGGCUUUGGUCAGGCUAGUUCUAGGCAUCCGCCUACAAGACUUAGAGGGCAUUCAGUUGUUCACUAGGGGGAGUAGGCAUUUUACUUUGAAAAAAUUAGAGUGUUUAGGGCAGGCAAUCGCCCGCAUAUAUUAGCAUGGAAUAAUAGAAUAGGACACUUUUCCAUUUCGUUGGUUAUUGGAAUCGUGUGAUGAUUAAUAGGGACAGUUGUGGGCAUUUGUAUUUAAUUGUCAGAGGUGAAAUUCUUGGAUUUAUUAAAGACAAACUAACGCGAAAGCAUUUGCCAAGGAUGUUUUCAUUAAUCAAGAACGAAAGUUAGGGGAUCAAAGACGAUCAGAUACCGUCCUAGUCUUAACUAUAAACUAUUCCGACUCAAUGUUUGACUGGCUUAUAUAACCAGUUGAGCGUUGUAUGAGAAAUCAAAGUCUUUAGGUUCUGGGGGGAGUAUGGUUGCAAAGCUGAAACUUAAAGGAAUUGACGGAAGAGCACAACCAGGAGUGGAUUCUGCGGCUUAAUUUGACUCAACACGGGGAAACUUACCAGGUUAAAACAAUAGUGGGAUUGACAGUUUGAGAGCGCUUUCUUGAUUGGUUGGGUGGUGGUGCAUGGCCGUUCUUAGUUGGUGGAGUGAUUUGUCUGCUUAAUUGCGUUAACGAACGAGACCUUAACCUGCUUACUAGACUGGCGAUCAUCAAUCGUUAGCUCUUCUUAGAGGGACUUUGGUUGUUUUAACUCCAAGGAAGUUUGAGGCAAUAACAGGUCUGUGAUGCCCUUAGAUACCCUGGGCCGCACGCGUCAUACAAUGACUAGUUCAGAAAGUUUUCUCCUGACCCGAAAGGGGAUGGGUAAUCUUGAUAAUACUAGUCGUGUUAGGGAUCGAUCUUUGCAAUUAUAGAUCUUGAACGAGGAAUUCCUAGUAAGUGCGGUUCAUCAGACCGUACUGAUUACGUCCCUGCUCUUUGUACACACCGCCCGUCGCUUCUACCGAGUGGGUGGUCCGGUGAGAUAAUUGAACUUCGCAGGUAACUGAGAGGAAAGAUUAUCAAACCUAUCCACCU